GACGAACGCUGGCGGCGGGCUUAAUACAUGCAAGUCGUGGGGCAGCAGGUUUGUAGCAAUACAGAUGCUGGCGACCGGCAAACGGGUGCGGAACACGUACACAACCUUCCUUUAAGUGGGGAAUAGCCCAGAGAAAUUUGGAUUAAUACCCCGUAACAUUAUGAUGUGGCAUCACAUUAUAAUUAUAGCUACGGCGCUUAAUGAUGGGUGUGCGGCUGAUUAGGUAGUUGGCGGGGUAACGGCCCACCAAGCCUGCGAUCAGUAACUGGUGUGAGAGCACGACCAGUCACACGGGAACUGAGACACGGGCCCGACUCCUAUGGGAGGCAGCAGUAAGGAAUAUUGGGCAAUGGAGGAAACUCUGACCCAGCCAUGCCGCGCGGAGGAUGAAGGUCCUCUGGAUUGUAAACUUCUUUUAUAUGGGACGAAAAAGGGUCUUUCUAGGUCAACUGACGGUACCAUAUGAAUAAGCACCGGCUAACUCCGUGCCAGCAGCCGCCGUAAAAC
rnacentral:rRNA from 1 species